rnacentral:ncRNA from 1 species
AAGCUGCUGCUGCUGCAGCUGCUGCAGCUGCUGCAGCUGCUGCUGCUGCUGCUGCUGCAGCUGCUGCUGCAGCUGCUGCUGUUGCAGCUGCUGCUGCAGCUGCUGCUGUUGCAGCUGCUGCUGCAGCUGCUGCUGUUGCAGCUGCUGCUGUUGCAGCUGCUGCUGUUGCAGCUGUUGCUGUUGCAGCUGCUGCAGCCGCUGCUGUUGCAGCUGCUGCUGUUGCACCUGCUGCUGCGAUUCUAACAAGCUGCUGCAGCAGCUGCCGCUG